UCGUGGAGUGAUUUGUCUUGUUAAUUCAGUUAACGAACGAGACCUUAACCUACUAAAUAGGCUGUAGGCCAGUUUUCGGACUGGUUAGUUUCUUUGGGUGGUUUGUAUGAACCAUCUCUUGAAACCUAUAAUCUGGAACUUUGCUUCGGUAGAGUUCUUGCUUCUUAGAGGGACAAUACUUCGUUUAUAUUAGAGUAAGGAAGUUUAAGGCAAUAACA
rnacentral:rRNA from 1 species